rnacentral:tRNA from 3 species
GCACCAUUAGCUCAGUUGGUAGAGCAACUGACUCUUAAUCAGUGGGUCCCGGGUUCGAGUCCCUGAUGGUGCA